AUUGAACGCUGGCGGCAUGCCUUACACAUGCAAGUCGAACGGCAGCACGGGAGCAAUCCUGGUGGCGAGUGGCGAACGGGUGAGUAAUAUAUCGGAACGUGCCCAGUCGUGGGGGAUAACGUAGCGAAAGCUACGCUAAUACCGCAUACGAUCUAUGGAUGAAAGCGGGGGAUCGCAAGACCUCGCGCGAUUGGAGCGGCCGAUAUCAGAUUAGGUAGUUGGUGAGGUAAAGGCUCACCAAGCCGACGAUCUGUAGCUGGUCUGAGAGGACGACCAGCCACACUGGGACUGAGACACGGCCCAGACUCCUACGGGAGGCAGUAGUGGGGAAUUUUGGACAAUGGGCGCAAGCCUGAUCCAGCAAUGCCGCGUGCAGGAUGAAGGCCUUCGGGUU
rnacentral:rRNA from 1 species